UAUUGAAAUUCAUAUCUGUUAUAUUCUUAUAACCUACAUCUCUAUCCCCCCAGGGGCUCCACCACAUCCACCAGCACCGGGCCGUACAUAGGGACAUCAAGGGCCCGAACAUCAUGCUGACGAAGGAGGGGAGAGUGAAGCUGAGUGAGUAGAACUUACAGUUAUAAGAUGAAUGGAUGGCGGGAAGCUUCUGUGAAUAUGGAGUCAGAGGGUUUCAUAAUUCAGGUUUUUAUUGUAUUGCAUUUAAAAAGUCUGUUUCCAUUCAUAAAUAUAAUCUGUUAUUUCAGUCGACUUUGGACUCUGCAGGGACCUGGACCCAAAGACUGGACUGUGCCACGAGCCUGAAGGGACUCCACACUGGAUGGCACCCGAGGCCAUAAGGUGGAACGGCAAGGACCCGUCGUACGACACCAAAGUGAGUUGCACUUAUAAUACUUGGCACAACAGGGUGCAUUUACCUAUCAAUGUUAAUGGGAGAUAGAAGCAGUGGGAGGAGUCGAUGGCACUUUCCUUCAGCCUCUCCCCUCCUCUCUGCACAAAUGGGUGCUACAUUCAGUUAGCGGCAGUUCAGGUUACAGGAGAGCUAAACACGAAGCCAUUGGGGCCAUUUCUUCCAUCAGUGCUAAGUGGGCGAGUUUUAAUUGGUUCUGUAUUUUCCAUUCAUUGUAUGCAGGCACUGAUGGAAGAACCACCCCAGUAACAACUGAAUCACCCACUAACCCAGUUCUCUCCUUCUAACGCUCUUUGGUGUCUCUUUUCCAGUGUGACAUCUGGUCGCUGGGGAUAACCGCCAUCGAAAUGGCCGAGGGAGAACCACGUAAGUAAAUUACAACUCUACAUACAGGAGUAUUGUUGGUGGGAACCUUAUUAAUUUAUAGAAAAAGUUUUUUUUUCCUGCUAAAAAUACUGAAUAAGCCCCAAUACUUCCCAUUCUGAUACGGAACAUCUGCUGCUCAAAAUAUUAAAUAAAUAGCAUAUAGACAUGUUUCAUUGUUCUGAUAUAUGUGUUUCUAACUUUCAGCAUACUACGACCAACGCCGGGUGGAGCACUUAAUAAUCAACAACCAACCACCGAAGCUUCGGGCAGAGACCUGGUCACAACAAUUCGUGUCCUUCUUGGACUCCUGCCUGAAGAAGGAUCCUGCGGAGCGAUGGAGCGCUGAGGAGCUCCUGCAGCACCCCUUCAUCGCUGGACUGCCGCCUAAGAAGAUCGUCAGGGCUGAGAUUCGAGAACAUCUUCAGGCUCUGAAGAAGUGGCCGGCCAAGAAAGGUGAGGGGAUCCAUUGUAUCUGGUACAACUGCACCAUCAGGAACAUUAAACUGAGAAGCUGUUGGGCUUGUUAUAGUGGCGCUAGGGAUAAUGAACAUAUUUUAAGGGCUACAUCACCUUAAUAUUACAUUUCAGUACAAUGGUGACAAUGGGAUUCUAAAGCAAUUUACAGUUGGUCUUCAGUUUUCAUUUUUGAAGCUUUAUUCCAUAGCUUUAAAUCUCAAGUACUAGUUGGUUGCAGUUACCCUCUCAAGGGACCCAAGUGAGUAAUAUGGCCGAUCAUACUGCUGCCAUCACACCACAAGUUUGGGUUGAAACAGAAAACCUUUUUUGCCAAUGAGCUUAACUGCAGGGGUGUGGGGCUAUGGGCCGGCCUGGGGCUAGCUGCAGAGUUGGAUGUCUCUUCGGCAAAUGAAUAGACUCAGUUUAGAGGGCGGGAAAUCACUGCAGCUUAUAUAGUGGGUUUGGAUAGAACCCGGGCCCAUUUGCUUUAUUCCCUCCAGGAACUGCUCUUUGGGAAGGAAUUUGUCUGUGGGACAUGACAUGUUUAUAUUAAAGUAUACUCCUAUAUUAUUUCCAAGCAUUUCAACAAAAGCAGGAAUGUAAUUGUGGCUGUUUCCUUACUGUGGCUUUAUUUUCUAUACAGGAGUGAAGGAAGCAGCUCUCUGGGCCAGGAAACAGCUGCGUCGCACUUGUUACUUCUGCGCACACAAGACCUUGGCAGAAGAAAAAGCGGCUCAGCAAAUGGCACUGGAGGGCUUUCCUUGUUGUUGAUCCUGUGGCCAAUAACAUCUAAAGCCCGGGAUGAGUCUCCGCAACAACAUCCUAGGAGAAAGAAACACCGACAGAGAAAGCUCCACCAGCAGCGUCCGCACCUCCAUCUGAAUUCCACCCAUGGCUUCUACUUUUCAUGCAACUUUGGCUCCACCACCAGUCUCUUCUCCUUCUACUGCUCCUCUCCCACAGACUUUGUCAUGCCACAACACCACCUGCAUCUACAGCUCCAUCUGCAUUGCCUAUUGCAUUUACCACAGCUACAUUGUCACUCUUCCACCAGUGGUAUAUUUUACUUUACAGUACUGCACCUCAACCUGCAGGCUCUUUCUCCAACCUCUGUGCGUCAAACUACCACAGAUUGAAAAGCGGCAUUCACAGUUCCACCAGCGGUAUUCUUGUUUGUAAAGACCGCAGCUUCAUCAGUGGAACAUUUGCUUGUAAAUAACAUCCGUCUUUUCAUUUAUCUUUGGCUCUACCACCAGCCUCUCUUUACUAUUCUGCUGACCCUCUUCCAGCAGACCAACCCACUAAUACAUGACAGCAUAUGCAGUUCCAGCUACCUUAGCUCAAACAGCGCCU